rnacentral:rRNA from 1 species
UACAGAGGUCCCAAGCGUUGUUCGGAUUCACUGGGCGUAAAGGGUGCGUAGGCGGUCGGGUAAGUCUGACGUGAAAUCUCCAAGCUCAACUUGGAAAUGGCGUCGGAUACUAUUCGGCUCGAGGAAUGGAGGGGAGACUGGAAUUCUCGGUGUAGCAGUGAAAUGCGUAGAUAUCGAGAGGAACACCAGUGGCGAAGGCGGCUCACUGGCCCGAUACUGACGCUGAGGCACGAAAGCGUGGGGAGCAAACAGG